rnacentral:rRNA from 1 species
GACGAACGCUGGCGGCGUGCUUAACACAUGCAAGUCGAACGGAAAGGCCCUGCUUUUGUGGGGUGCUCGAGUGGCGAACGGGUGAGUAACACGCGAGUAACCUGCCCUUGACUUUGGGAUAACUUCAGGAAACUGGGGCUAAUACCGGAUAGGAGCUCCUGCUGCAUGGUGGGGGUUGGAAAGUUUCGGCGGUUGGGGAUGGACUCGCGGCUUAUCAGCUUGUUGGUGGGGUAGUGGCUUACCAAGGCUUUGACGGGUAGCCGGCCUGAGAGGGUGACCGGCCACAUUGGGACUGAGAUACGGCCCAGACUCCUACGGGAGGCAGCAGCGGGGAAUAUUGCACAAUGGGCGGAAGCCUGAUGCAGCAACGCCGCGUGCGGGAUGACGGCCUUCGGGUUGUAAACCGCUUUCGCCUGUGACGAAGCGUGAGUGACGGUAAUGGGUAAAGAAGCACCGGCUAACUACGUG